GGAAGAAAAUAUCCUGGUUGUAUUACCAGUAUAUUCUCGUCACGGCUUUAUACAUGUUGGAGCCUUGGGAGAGAACCAUCUUCAAAACUCAUCAUAACAGAUUGGCAUCUGAACAAACAGGAUACAGUUUACAGCCGAACUGACAGGGGGACGAUGAUUGGUGUUGAGGUAUGUAUAACGGAUGUAAGUAGAAGGAUCAAAUUAGACAAUAACAGGGUGCUAUGAUUCUAAGCAGGGUUUGUUAAGAGUAAUGACUAAAAACAACAGAGAAGAAGGAGAGUGGGUUUAACAAGAUUGGGCGUAGGGUCUUUUAAUGGAUACAACAUUAUAAAAUAGGUCAGAGGUUCGAGUCCUAAGAUAUGACGACAUUAUAAUGUGAAAAGUUGUGAGGUUCAAGUCCUCAGCAAGCUUAGGGAUAAAGUUUAGAGUCCUUUUGUUAUGAUGUUCAAGUCAUCAACAACAUUUGUUAAGGUUUACGACAUUAUAAAAUAGGUUUAAGUCCUUUGGCGUGAAAGAGUCAUCAUAAAGUGUUAGAUGUGAAGAGUUCAAGGCCUCAACCGUGUUAUAAAAGCCCUAUGAGAAAAUUAGUAUUUUGGUGAAGGUUCAAGUCCUUGGUAUAAGGUUAAUGUCCUUUGUAAAAGCCCUAUGAGUUAAAAUAAGCCAUAAUUGAUCAAGGGAGUGACAGCAAUAUAGAGGAGAAGUACAAAUUAAGGAGGUUCAGUCUUCUGAGAGGUAGAGUACCAUGGUGAAGAGAGAAUUAGUCCUGUGUGAAUUACUCCAAACGGUCAGGACAGAGAGAAAACAAUAAAUCAUACUGCAUAAAGAAUCAGAGAAGAUAUAAGUGAACCUGUUGAAUCAUUGCACCAAAGACAAAAUAGGCAAAAUACAUUUUAAUAAAGAUCAAGGUGGAGAUUUGAUUCAAACAUUUAAUUACUAAUAUUGUAUCAACUAAUAAUAUAUGAGAAUGGGGAGUCAAUUCAGUAUACCGAUUACGGGCAAGACAGUGACAAUAAAGAAUAAAUCAGAGCUAGAUUUACCUCGAAGUGAAUGAAAGGUUAUGACAAUUGUUGCAGACAAAUCCGCAUCUAAAACAUAUCUCUUUUAAAAGUAUUGAAAAUCCGACACCGUGUGACUGGAUGUUAAUUAAAUUAGGCUUUUUCUAUGUGGAACCAUAUCUUAGAGAUUUAUCAGCAGGGACAGAUAAUGACUAUCCUCAUGAUGGUAGUUUUAAAAGGGAUAAAUUACAAGUAGCAAGAAAGUAUAUAAUUGAUCAUACAGCCAUAAGCAACCCGAAAUGGGAUUUAGAUUAUAUGAAAGAGUGUCAUGCCAUGGC